UCCUCCACUGCCUUCCUGGGCCACAACAGAGCUGGACUGGAAGAGGAGCAACCGGGACUAGAACUGACACCCAUAUGGGAUGCCUGCGCCGCAGGCGGAGGAUUAAGCUAGUGCACAGUGCACGAUGGCGCCGGCCAUUGAUUCUUUCAUUUGCAGAUACUUGUUGAUAUGUAUUCUGUACUCUUCCAGGUUCCUUGUCUACCAUUGUAUAAAGAUAAACAAAGCCGAUGUGGAUCCUGCUUUGUCGAAGUUUUCAUUAAGUAGAGCCUGUGUGCGAAUACGAAUGCACACACACACCAAUGAUCCAAUGAUGCCUCCGGCCAGGAGGGCAAAUCAGCCUCUGCUAUGAACCAGCGCUGCCCCUUGAAAAACAGCCUUCGCUGCUUGGAAGAUUUGAAGCAUGAGAAGCAAACAGCAGAGAGAGUUGAUGUCCAGCACAGUACAGCACCCUGCAAGCCCAGAGGGUGAGUACCCACACUUCCUGACCGUCGUCUUGCCUCCCAGGGGGACUUGGACAAGAAUCUCCUAGCACCUCCAACUCAGUGGGGGACACUGCAGAGCAUAUGGAAGAGAGUGGCACCUGGACCCCUGUCCCAGUCUCCUCCAUUCACAACCAUUCAUAACUGGAAGGGAGCAGCAGGCCUCGUUCCUGGAAUCUAGGGCCACCCCUGCACGGGGACCCUCCCUGGAGUGAGUGGUGCUGCAGAAGUACUCUCCUAGCAGGGACGGUUUGAACCUUUCAUCACCGAAACCACAGUUCCUGAAUGGAGUAAAUUAAUUCUGUGGGUCUCAACUCACAGGUUGGAGCACCCUUGCCUCACAUAAAUGAAUCACAUUAGUUUUCCACACUUUGAUGGCUGACCACAUGCCCCUGUCCAGGCAGGCAGGAAAUGCCAUUGAUGUGGGAACCUAAAUGGGCUCUGAAUGGGUAGGGCCUUUGCAGGCCCCCACAGCUGGGUCACAGCUACAGCAGCCAGGUGCUGUUGGGAAGUGUUUGUUAGGUAAAUGAGGGAGCAGGUGAAGGAAGGUGUGAACAGUGACACAAAAAGCUUUCUUGGUGUCCUUAACAUGCUGGAUUUUUAGGCUCAUUCAUUUGUCAGAGAAGUCUCACCUCUGCUAUGAGGGUAGGUCAAAAUUGCAUCUGCUCCUGCAAGAAACAAACACAUGGAGGCGAAGGCUCAAAAAGGAAGAGGGCUCUUGGCUCCCAGCCCUGAUUUGCCUCUGGUAGCUGUCUGACGUGGGCAGGUGAGGGGGAGUCUUAGGUUUCUGUAGGUUGAGCUUGGUGACACCCACUCUGCCCAUCCCACUGGAGGUUGUAAGGUACACAAGACUGCUCCUGCAGAAAUGCUGCUGAGGAAACUGUCUUAGUUCUUCCUCUCU
rnacentral:lncRNA from 1 species